AUCAUAACUGGAUGUACUGUAAACAGAAGUCACAUACCAUAAACACAUCUUCCUAGAUGAGUGAAAUGUUCAUCCAUGUGAAACAAUCAGUUAUUAUGGGGCAUUUGUAAUGAAUUUAAAUUGUAAGAAGAGCAAACCCUUUCUCCUCUAAGUUGCUUUUAUGUCAAGCCCCGUGCAUCACUCCAAGAGAAAUGAAACUGGAACACCUAGGACUAAUGAAGACUGAGAGAGUAUUUCAUUUUGUUUCUAAAUACGGAUAGAAGAACUUCUACUCUCUCCAGGAUGACAGAAUAAAUUUGUUCAAAUGGAA